GACAGGUGGAGACGCUUCCGUGACAAGACGUGGGGAGCGAAAAGGGUGAGAUACCCUGGUGUACCCCGUUAUAAACGAGGUCGAUUUGGAGGUUGUGCCCUUGAGGCGUGGCUUCCGGAGCUAACGCGUUAACUCGACCGCCUGGGGAGUACGGCCCCAAGGUUAAAACUCAAAUGAAUUGACGGGGGCCCGCACAAGCGGUGUUGCAUGUGGUUUAAUUCGAUGCAACGCGAAGAACCUUACCUACUCUUGACAUCCAGAGAACUUUCCAGAGAUGGAUUGGUGCCUUCGGGAACUCUGAGGCAGGUGCGGCAUGGCUGUCGUCAGCUCGUGUUGUGAAAUGUUGGGUUAAGUCCCGCAACGAGCGCAACCCUUAUCCUUUGUUGCCAGCGCUUAGGCCGGGAACUCAAAGGAGACUGCCAGUGAUAAACUGGAGGAAGGUGGGGAUGACGUCAAGUCAUCAUGGCCCUUACGAGUAGGGCUACACACGUGCUACAAUGGCGCACACAAAGAGAAGCGACCUCGCGAGAGCAAGCGGACCUCAUAAAGUGCGUCGUAGUCCGGAUUGGAGUCUGCAACUCGACUCCAUGAAGUCGGAAUCGCUAGUAAUCGUAGAUCA
rnacentral:rRNA from 1 species